AUUGAACGCUGGCGGCAGGCCUAACACAUGCAAGUCGAGCGGAUGAGGGAAGCUUGCUUCCCGAUUUAGCGGCGGACGGGUGAGUAAUGCCUAGGAAUCUGCCUAUUAGUGGGGGAUAACGUUCCGAAAGGAACGCUAAUACCGCAUACGUCCUACGGGAGAAAGUGGGGGAUCUUCGGACCUCACGCUAAUAGAUGAGCCUAGGUCGGAUUAGCUAGUUGGUGGGGUAACGGCUCACCAAGGCGACGAUCCGUAGCUGGUCUGAGAGGAUGAUCAGCCACACUGGAACUGAGACACGGGCCAGACUCCUACGGGAGGCAGCAGUGGGGAAUAUUGGACAAUGGGCGAAAGCCUGAUCCAGCCAUGCCGCGUGUGUGAAGAAGGUCUUCGGAUUGUAAAGCACUUUAAGUUGGGAGGAAGGGUUGUAAGCUAAUAUCUUGCAGCUUUGACGUUACCAACAGAAUAAGCACCGGCUAACUCUGUGCCAGCAGCCGCGGUAAUAC
rnacentral:rRNA from 1 species